UAGAGAUAUGCUAUUCUCUUCGGAGACAUCGGAGACAGGUGGUGCAUGGUUGUCGUCAGCUCGUGUCGUGAGAUGUUGGGUUAAGUCCCGCAACGAGCGCAACCCUUACUGUUAGUUGCUACGCAAGAGCACUCUAGCGAGACUGCCGUUGACAAAACGGAGGAAGGUGAGGACGACGUCAAAUCAUCAUGCCCCUUAUGUCCUGGGCCACACACGUACUACAAUGGUGGUCAACAGAGGGAAGCAAUACCGCGAGGUGGAGCAAAUCCCUAAAAGCCAUCCCAGUUCGGAUCGCGGGCUGCAACCCGCCUGCGUGAAGUUGGAAUCGCUAGUAAUCGCGGAUCAGCAUGCCGCGGUGAAUACGUUCCCGGGCCUUGUACACACCGCCCGUCACACCAUGAGAGUCGGGAACACCCGAAGUCCGUAGCCUAACCGCAAGGGGGGCGCGGCCGAAGGUGGGUUCGAUAAUUGGGGUGAAGUCGUAACAAGGUAGCCGUAUCGGAAGGUGCG
rnacentral:rRNA from 1 species